AAAGCAUAAUGAUGAUUGUAUAUAAAAUUACUGAUAAUAUUUUGCUGAAGUAAUCAAUUACCUCCUACUCAUUCUGA